rnacentral:rRNA from 1 species
GCUGGCGGCAUGCCUAACACAUGCAAGUCGAACGCCUGUAGCAAUACAGGAGUGGCGGACGGGUGAGUAACACGUGGGAAUCUACCCAGUAGCCUGGAAUAACUGCGGGAAACUGCAGCUAAUACCGGAUACGCCCCUAGGGGGAAAGGAGCAAUCCACUAUUGGAGGAGCCCGCGCCCGAUUAGCUAGUUGGUGAGGUAACGGCUCACCAAGGCGAUGAUCGGUAGCUGGUUUGAGAGAACGACCAGCCACACUGGGACUGAGACACGGCCCAGACUCCUACGGGAGGCAGCAGUGGGGAAUAUUGGACAAUGGGGGAAACCCUGAUCCAGCAAUGCCGCGUGGGUGAUGAAGGCCUUCGGGUUGUAAAGCCCUUUUGGCGGGGACGAUGAUGACGGUACCCGCAGAAGAAGCCCCGGCUAACUUCGUGCCAGCAGCCGCGGUAAUACGAAGGGGGCUAGCGUUGUUCGGAAUUACUGGGCGUAAAGGGCGCGUAGGCGGCUUC